rnacentral:rRNA from 1 species
UACGGAGGGUGCAAGCAUUAAUCGGAUUUAUUGGGCGUAAAGGGCGCGUAGGCGGAUUUGUAAGUCAGAUGUGAAAUUCCGAAGCUCAACUUCGGAGCUGCAUUUGAAACUACAAGACUAGAGGAGUGGCGGAGAAAAUGGAAUUCCACGUGUAGCGGUGAAAUGCGUAGAUAUGUGGAAGAACACCUGUGGCGAAAGCGGUUUUCUAGCUUAUUCCUGACGCUGAGGCGCGAGAGCAAGGGGAGCAAACAGG